CCUACGGGAGACUGCAGUGGGGGAUAUUGCACAAUGGGGGAAACCCUGAUGCAGCGACGCCGCGUGUGGGAAGACGGUCCUCUGGAUUGUAAACCACUGUCCCCAGGGACGAAGAUGACGGUACCUGGGGAGGAAGCUCCGGCAAACUACGUGCCAGCAGCCGCGGUAAUACGUAGGGAGCGCGCGUUGUCCGGAAUUACUGGGUGUAAAGGGAGCGUAGGCGGGACUGCAAGUUGGGUGUCAAAUCUACCGGCUCAACCGGUAGCCGCACUCAAAACUGCAGUUCUUGAGUUAAGUAGAGGCAGGCGGAAUGCCUAGUGUAGCGGUGAAAUGCGUAGAGAUUAGGAGGAACACCAGUGGCGAAGGCGGCCUGCUGAGCUUUGACUGACGCUGAGGCUCGAAAGUGUGGGGAGCAAACAGGAUUAGAUACCCCAGUAGUC
rnacentral:rRNA from 1 species